rnacentral:rRNA from 1 species
CACACUAUCAUUAACUGAAUCCAUAGGUUAAUGAGGCGAACCGGGGGAACUGAAACAUCUAAGUACCCCGAGGAAAAGAAAUCAACCGAGAUUCCCCCAGUAGCGGCGAGCGAACGGGGAGGAGCCCAGAGCCUGAAUCAGUGUGUGUGUUAGUGGAAGCGUCUGGAAAGGCGCGCGAUACAGGGUGACAGCCCCGUACACAAAAAUGCACAUAUUGUGAGCUCGAUGAGUAGGGCGGGACACGUGGUAUCCUGUCUGAAUAUGGGGGGACCAUCCUCCAAGGCUAAAUACUCCUGACUGACCGAUAGUGAACCAGUACCGUGAGGGAAAGGCGAAAAGAACCCCGGCGAGGGGAGUGAAAAAGAACCUGAAACCGUGUACGUACAAGCAGUGGGAGCCUCUUUAUGGGGUGACUGCGUACCUUUUGUAUAAUGGGUCAGCGACUUAUAUUCUGUAGCAAGGUUAACCGAAUAGGGGAGCCGAAGGGAAACCGAGUCUUAACUGGGCGUUAAGUUGCAGGGUAUAGACCCGAAACCCGGUGAUCUAGCCAUGGGCAGGUUGAAGGUUGGGUAACACUAACUGGAGGACCGAACCGACUAAUGUUGAAAAAUUAGCGGAUGACUUGUGGCUGGGGGUGAAAGGCCAAUCAAACCGGGAGAUAGCUGGUUCUCCCCGAAAGCUAUUUAGGUAGCGCCUCGUGAAUUCAUCUCCGGGGGUAGAGCACUGUUUCGGCAAGGGGGUCAUCCCGACUUACCAACCCGAUGCAAACUGCGAAUACCGGAGAAUGUUAUCACGGGAGACACACGGCGGGUGCUAACGUCCGUCGUGAAGAGGGAAACAACCCAGACCGCCAGCUAAGGUCCCAAAGUCAUGGUUAAGUGGGAAACGAUGUGGGAAGGCCCAGACAGCCAGGAUGUUGGCUUAGAAGCAGCCAUCAUUUAAAGAAAGCGUAAUAGCUCACUGGUCGAGUCGGCCUGCGCGGAAGAUGUAACGGGGCUAAACCAUGCACCGAAGCUGCGGCAGCGACACUAUGUGUUGUUGGGUAGGGGAGCGUUCUGUAAGCCUGUGAAGGUGGCCUGUGAGGGUUGCUGGAGGUAUCAGAAGUGCGAAUGCUGACAUAAGUAACGAUAAAGCGGGUGAAAAGCCCGCUCGCCGGAAGACCAAGGGUUCCUGUCCAACGUUAAUCGGGGCAGGGUGAGUCGACCCCUAAGGCGAGGCCGAAAGGCGUAGUCGAUGGGAAACAGGUUAAUAUUCCUGUACUUGGUGUUACUGCGAAGGGGGGACGGAGAAGGCUAUGUUGGCCGGGCGACGGUUGUCCCGGUUUAAGCGUGUAGGCUGGUUUUCCAGGCAAAUCCGGAAAACCAAGGCUGAGGCGUGAUGACGAGGCACUACGGUGCUGAAGCGACAAAUGCCCUGCUUCCAGGAAAAGCCUCUAAGCAUCAGGUAACAUCAAAUCGUACCCCAAACCGACACAGGUG